AUAUAUAUUUAUAAAUAGUUCCAGGAUGCUUGGAUCUGUUGCAGCUGAAGCAAACAUAUGGGGAUUCCCAGAUGGAAGACACAUCAUUGAGUGCAGCGUUGAUGAAUUCUUUCACUUUUUGCCAACUCUAUCUCAGAUGAAUUCGCCAGCGCUGCACUCAAUCAUGUGUUUUGCUCUUUCUGGAAACGAAGGCCAUCAAGAUUCAAGAGAAUAUUAAUGUUACAGAUGCCAACUGCAAAUCUAGUCAGAUGGUGACAACCCAAAUACCAAUAAUUCGUGUUAAAAGCAGCAUCCAACAUUGGAACCAGAGAUAAAUGGGCCCUCGAGUGCUACAAAGUCAUUUCUCUUUGGUCUAUUGAGUAUCUCGAGAAACGGAUAAGUUUUUCAGGGUUCCACAAUAUUGGCAUAUAUAUUGCACUACUUUUACUUUUAUGUCACCAUGAUAUCUAGUUGUCCCUGUGGACUGUCCAAAAGCAAAUCAUGAUCAAAUUCAUGAAAAUAGCACCAUAGUAGCAAGUGAAGAGGAUUGGAAUAAUGCUGCAAAAUUUAGACUAGAUUCAGAUAAAUAGCAGAACUGACAUGACUCGCAUGUUAUAGGCAGUUCCACAUCAAUUUGUCUGGCCUCUUAAUUUAAACCUUAGAAACAGAUCGACUAUGGUAAACUUGUAAUGUUGUCCCUCUGUGAUCUUCCACCAUUUUUGCCUACUAAAUAGAUGGGCGGUUUCUGCUUAAUCCCCUGCUACAGAAUGCGAUUGGUGGUAUAAAUCGAAUGAACACAAGGACUUCUCUGA